AUAAUGCUAGAAGUCAAUCUUUCCAAAAACUAUUGUUUUUGCUUACUCUGUAGCUUUCCUAUUAUAAAACAUAUUUUAAUUUUGCAAGUGAAAACAUAUUUCAAAUAUGUUAAUUUGACAAAAAUCAUGGAUUUUGUAACAGUUUAAGACACCUAUGCAAAAAUAUGACACAUAAAAUGAUGAGUAGGCACCAUCUUCCAAGUUAGUAUACUUCUGUUAAUGCAGCAGAAACAGUAUAAUAUUACACAGUAACAAAGAUACCCUGAGGAUUCCAGAACAAGACAAAGAAUAUAUAUAUAAUAAGUCAAUGACUUGGACAAAAGCAUUAAAGGUAUUUGCCAUUUUGAAGGUUUUUGCUCCAAAGAAACAUUUUAAUUUAAACUUUCUUGAUACUGUAAUGUUACCGCUUCAUGUUUGCAACUCAGCUGUUCUAAUUACCUUGCCUGAGGCAGGCACACAUCCAUCCAGGAAGAUGAGAAAUGGAGCCAGAUUCCAUUUCCCUUCUCUUCACUUCACUUGCCUUAUUUUCUUGGAGCGCCUUUUGAAGCUGAGAAGGAAUAAGAAAUUGCGCCUUUGUUUCUGAAUGGAGAGUUAAUCCCCCUUAGAGAAAUUCCUCUGAUCAACCGGCUUCUAAUUAGGGUUGGACCUUUUCUCUUGCUUCAGAACUUUUCUGUGGAACUUACAAAAGUUUGGUGAAUAUUAUGCACUAAGAAUAAACACACUGUGUUGAUGUAAUUGGAAUUACAAAACAGCUCCUCCAAUUAACAUAACAUUUUCUUCAUUCUUUAAAGCCACCCUUCAGUAAGAUAUUUUUGAGGUAAACUGUAGAAAACUUCAAGAUCAUUACAGGUUAUGACUAAGUUUCUUUCGUCCUCUAUAUGAAUGAAGUACCACUUCUGAAAAUGCACAGCUUUCUUUAAUUGUCCUUGGAAAUUAUGAACCCUAGCAUUAUAUGCAGUUGGUAGAUUUACUGGGUGUGACCAAAUCCAAUUACAUAAGCUCCAGUUUGAUAUGAUCUGCAAGAUUAAUUCUAUGAAAAAUGUUUAUUUGUAAAGUAGAAUGUCUAUACUUUUUUAAAAGGGAGGAUUGGUAUAUGGUUAGGCAACUAGACAAGAUUGUACAAUGUGAUUUUUAAGCAUAAGAAUUAACACUGACAAAAGUAUAUUAGCUUUGGUUCUAGAGUCAUGAGUUCUAAAUUUGGAUUUAUUGAUUAGCUCAGCUGUCCAGAUGGAACCCCUUUUUUUUUCAUUCAACAAAUUUAUUCAACUUGUAUUUAUGAAGAUAACUUCGAGUGGAAGUUCAGUAACUAGUAGUUUAUUUCCCUUCCCCUUGUCAGUGUGGGUCCUUUUCUCCCUAUCUCCCUUUCACCACUCCAUUAUCACUUUUAUAAUAGAUUUACCAAAAUAUACUCUAAUUGUUUAUUUUUCUAAAUGCACCAAAAUAAUGUGAGCUCCUUAUGCCCAGUGACUAUGGCUUAUCUCAUAUCAUUAUCCUAGCUUUUGGACACAGGAUAGUUGAUAUAGUCUUGUUGAUCUGAAUAAAAUUACAUUUAUUAAUGGUCAAAAGUGCCAAAUACUCUUUAUGUCUACCAAGCAGCCAUUCUCUCUUCUUUCCAGCCAACAGAACCCUGCUUUUGUUUGGACACCAAUGUGUCUAUCCCCAAACCCAUUCCUUAUGAGUGAAGUGUAAGGAGAUGUCUCCUGUAGAAGGGCUUUUGGGAAAAACAAGAGGCCAGAGUGAAGCCAAGAGAAGAUCCCAAGUCCUUUCCUCCCUAAUGCAGAUGCUAUUAUGCAGGCAUUCCUAGAGUUUUAAAAGGAAAUUGUGGAGUUCCUCCAAAAUCUGUGGUCAGAACACAAAUAUUUUGAAAUAGUCUCCUUCCCAGCCUGCUGCAGUGAUCAACAUCACCAAGAGUCCUUUGUAAAAGAGAAUCUUUGAAAGAUUGCAUUCAGCUGAGGUUGCGACUAGCUCAAGAGGAAUUCAUGUUCCCUGAGGAUGGAUAACAGCACAGCUAUCAAGAGAUACAACGACUAUUGAGAUUUCUGUCUCUCCUUUUGGAGCAGGUGCUAAGAGCAUCUUUCUUUGUAUUAAGGAUGGUUGUUAGUUGUUUCAUAUUGAGUGGAAGCAUGUAUUUGUUGUUUUAUGGGAGGUCAAAUAUGUGUAG